rnacentral:rRNA from 1 species
CCUACGGGCGGCUGCAGUGGGGAAUCUUGCACAAUGGGGGAAACCCUGAUGCAGCGACGCCGCGUGAAGGAUGAAGUCUUUCGGUAUGUAAACUUCUAUCAGCAGGGAAGAAAAUGACGGUAACUGACUAAGAAGCCUCGGCUAACUACGUGCCAGCAGCCGCGGUAAUACGUAGGGGGCAAGCGUUAUCCGGAUUUACUGGGUGUAAAGGGGGGUUAGACGGCAUGGCAAUACUGAUGUGAAAACCCGGGGCUCAACCCCGGGACUGUAUUGGAAACUGUCAGGCUAGAGAGACGGAGGGGCAAGUGGAAUUCCUAGUGUAGCGGUGAAAGGCGUAGAUAUUAGGAGGAACACCAGUGGCGAAGGCGGGUUACUGGACGGUUACUGACGUUGAGGCACGAAAGCGUAGGGAGCAAACAGGAUUAGAUACCCUAGUAGUC